AAAAACAUAUAGUAUUUUGAAUCCAUUUCCCAUGCCUCAAAACAGGAAAUUAAAUAUCGACCGAUUGCAGAGUGGAAAUUUAUUUUGACAUGGAAUGGAGAUUGACUAGGGGCGGCACGGUGGCGCAGUGAUUAGCAGCGUAGCUUCCACAAUUAUGGGACUCGUGGCUCCACGUGUGUGGACUUCGCAUGUUGUCCUCGUGUCAUUCUGUCCCGCAACCAUGAAUAGGACAAGCGGCUUCAGAAAACGCGUGGAGGAUCAUUGUGGGGGUAGCUGGAGGCCGACGUGGGACAGCACUGCAUUGGCCCAAGGCCCGGCUGUGAUCACCAAGCUCGCAGCUUUGUGGGCUCCACUGGCUGUUGUCACGGUGACCUCCGAGCCAGGCGUGAUGCCAGACACUUUCUCCCCAUCCUUGAUUACCCCGCCCAGCUUCUGGAAUGCCCCCUGGCAGCACGGAAAUCAGACAGAAGAAGACUCAAUGCAGCACACCUUGAGUGGACCAUCAAUACUUGAGGCUUUUUUUUUUUUUUGCGAUUUCAAGACGAAGUGGAUUAUUGCUUUUGACUUCAAACACAUAAGAGGUGUUAUGCCGCUGUAGGUUUGUGUCCAUGUGCAAUAAACCAUCUAAUGACCUGA